GUGGGGAAUCUUGCGCAAUGGGCGAAAGCCUGACGCAGCCAUGCCGCGUGAAUGAUGAAGGUCUUAGGAUUGUAAAAUUCUUUCACCGGGGACGAUAAUGACGGUACCCGGAGAAGAAGCCCCGGCUAACUUCGUGCCAGCAGCCGCGGUAAUACGAAGGGGGCUAGCGUUGCUCGGAAUUACUGGGCGUAAAGGGCGCGUAGGCGGAUCGUUAAGUCAGGGGUGAAAUCCCAGAGCUCAACUCUGGAACUGACCUUGAUACUGGCGAUCUUGAGUGGGAGAGAGGUAUGUGGAACUCCGAGUGUAGAGGUGAAAGUCGUAGAUAUUCGGAAGAACACCAGUGGCGAAGGCGACAUACUGGCCCAAUACUGACGCUGAGGCUCGAAAGCGUGGGGAGCAAACAGGAUUAGAAACCCGGGUAGUCC
rnacentral:rRNA from 1 species